GCAGUUCGAAGGCCACGAAUGCUCAUCUCGUACAGGUUGCUUCGUGCAUCCACAUUUCUGAGCGGGCUAAGGUCUGAGUAUUUCAAUCCCCCUCGAUUGGCUCUAGCGGGGCCCUGCUGUAAUCAGCUGCGCGACGUACCAGAAAAGCAGCUUCAUUUUCAUAUCCCAAAGAUCCUGUUUCGGUAGAGGGGGGUAAGAAUGAAAGCUCUGAAACUGUCGUGGGGAUUGGGCAAACUUGCAUCCAUCAAUUAGCAGUUAGUUGUCGCUAUCGCGCAUGCGCCUAUCAAGAAGACGCUGAAGGGACAGGUUACUAUCCAUCAUGAUGUGACCGUGACCCCCCUGGCUGCUUAGUCCCUUGCCGUGGUAGGUCGAUGCUUACACAUCUACUCAUCUAGAUAUUGAUUCCACUUCUGUUGCACAUUCAGACUGCAGUCUCCGAGGUAUGAUGCAUGGCACUUGUAUCGUGCCUACCUCUUCGGGCGAGCGCCAACGCUUGCCCGCUUCCAGCGUAACCGCUGAGCUUCAUGACCUAUCAUUUAUGGCUGGAGAUUAGCUGUCUCCUUGCGUAUGAGGCGUGUGACUGAUUGUAUGCGAUGGCACUAGUUUGUCUUUGAGUUCACUUCGUGGCUUGCGUGUCCUUUGUGGAUCGUGAAACUCGAUUCAGACUACUCUUGGAACUGG
rnacentral:RNase_P_RNA from 2 species